rnacentral:rRNA from 2 species
CCGUAGCGCGGUGGUCCCACCUGACCCCAUGCCGAACUCAGAAGUGAAACGCCGUAGCGCCGAUGGUAGUGUGGGGUCUCCCCAUGCGAGAGUAGGGA